GACAGGAUGACAGUUCCCAUCAGCCACAGCAGUGAAAAUUGAUUUUUUUUAAACUCCAACUCACCAUCUAUAUUUCCUCCUUUCCCAGUCGCUCUUGCUGCUUAAAAAUGAAUCCACCCUCUUCAUUUUUUGUGUAAAGGACGUUGAUAAUACUAAAAAAACACGUCCCCAAAAUCAUUUAAAACUUAUUUUAUUCAUUUAUUUCAAUUCAUGCCUAUCUCAGUGUAUAAGUGGUGAAAAGCCAUUGAAACAUUAAAAAAAAAAAAAAAUAGCAAUAACAGCCCCCAAAUAGCAGCUGAGCAAACAGAUUUGCUCAUAAGUAACUCCCAGGAGGUAACAUAAAAUGCAAAAUAAGGAUAGAAUAAUUUACAUUUCUCUAGGAGAUACGCAUUCAGUUCUGGAUUUCUGAUCGCAUCAUUGAAAUUGCUGUGUCUACUGUCACAGGCCAAAGCACAGCUGGAAUGCCUUGCAAACCUUUAUUUAUUUGUGUUGGUCUAAAUCUCCGCGUAACCAUGGAAUAAAAUCACAGCCGAAUACAGAAACUCAUCCCUGGCAUAGCCAAUUCAAGACAAUAGAGAGAAAAUACUUUCUGUGCCGUGAUAGUAAUAAUGGUGCUAAAAACAAUUCAUGUACAGCACAGCUGCAGGUAUAACUGAAUACUUGGGAUGCAAAAAUCAACGAAGAAGAAAAAAAAAACCUGAACAGUUUGUCACCAAAAUGGAAGACCAGGCUGAAAAAAUAAGAUUGGCAAACUGAGAUCAGAUGCAAGUAAGCUGGAACAGAUGAAAGGAAGAAAAAAAAUGGAAGAACCAAAAGAUUAAAGAAGACCUCAUUAAAAAAAAAUAACACUUUAAAACAAGGAAGUGCCAAAAAUAAUAAAUGCAACCAAUAACAGCUAAAGCUAAGAAAAUUAGCAGAUGCGAAGCUCAAAUUGCAAAUUUUGAGCAGAAUGGCCAGUGCUAAACACACUCGGGGUGUUAGGUAAACAAGAUGAAAAUAAAAAAUGGACAUCUUUGGAGCUUUGUUGUAAAAAAAAUUAAGGGUCACUAGUCUGAGGCCCUUAGUCAAUGUUUAGCUGAUGCCCAGCGUGUGGGAAUUAAUCCAUCCGCCUUCAAGCGAUAAACCAGGAUAUCCUUUUUCCCUGGGUGCCUGAUUGAAAGCAAGCUCUUUUGCCAUCUGCCAGUAGAUCACUCCUUCAAGCCCAGACACUUCAAAAGAGAAGCAUCUACCAUAUUUUCUACCCCGUUUCAAGAUUUUUAGCACCUUUGUACGGCUGUUGGUGACUCAAUUAACACUGAGCAAACAUGGCCAUUGGCGGCGAUCCCAAAAUCUCUUUGAUGUUUUUAUAUAAGAAUGAUUCUUUCUACUCGCUUUGCCUUGCAGAUUUCUUGAUGGCCCCUCAGCAAGUGAAGAAUAGGAUUAUCAAAGAACAGAAGGAGUUAGCCACGACCAGAGGUCAGCUUCAAGAGCUUGAAUAAUACAUAUUUUAUCCUCCCAGCCGUGCUAGGCUUGGGAUGAGAAAAAAUGCUAAAGAAGCUGGAACAGCAGAAACGUAGCCGCCUGCGAGAACUCGAGGAGGAGAAAAGACAGUUUUGCUUGCUUAUGGUCAAGAAAUUAGCACCCAGGGCCAAGAGAGGAUCGUCCAUGGUCACAGAAAGAGAUUCCAGAAGAUUGCCGUCUAGCGUUCCGCCUUCUCCUCUGCGAUCGAGUGAAAGCAGCUGGAGGAAUCUAGAUCCCGGGAUGCGUGCGAGAUCGGACACGGCCUUCUUCACCACGGCUGGCCGAAGGCUCCCCACAUCCAGUUCUCCAAAAUUAGCUCAAACCCCCAGAUGUUCUUGGCCAGAUGUUCUACCAACCCACGGAUACAAAUCUCCGCAAAGCAAGAAUUUGCAGUCAAGAACCAAGAAGCUGCCCGCCUCUCCUGGGCCACACAAGAUUGCAGAAAGGAAUUAACAUUUGAAAUUGAAAAAUAAUGAAUUAACUACUUACAAAACCAA